rnacentral:rRNA from 1 species
AACGAACGCUGGCGGCAGGCUUAACACAUGCAAGUCGAGCGGGGGAGGUUGCUUCGGUAACUGACCUAGCGGCGGACGGGUGAGUAAUGCUUAGGAAUCUGCCUAUUAGUGGGGGACAACAUUCCGAAAGGAAUGCUAAUACCGCAUACGCCCUACGGGGGAAAGCAGGGGAUCUUCGGACCUUGCGCUAAUAGAUGAGCCUAAGUCGGAUUCGCUAGUUGGGGGGGUAAAGGCCUACCAAGGCGACGAUCUGUAGCGGGUCUGAGAGGAUGAUCCGCCACACUGGGACUGAGACACGGCCCAGACUCCUACGGGAGGCAGCAGUGGGGAAUAUUGGACAAUGGGCGGAAGCCUGAUCCAGCCAUGCCGCGUGUGUGAAGAAGGCCUUUUGGUUGUAAAGCACUUUAAGCGAGGAGGAGGCUCUUAAGGUUAAUACCCUUGAUGAGUGGACGUUACUCGCAGAAUAAGCACCGGCUAACUCUGUGCCAGCCGCCGCCGUAAGAC